rnacentral:rRNA from 1 species
AUGUCGGUCAUUUGUGAAGGAGCAACAAAAAUAGUUGGAAAGUAUUGCAGUAGUUGGAUCAUGAAGAAUGAGCCUAAGAAAUCUAUCUUGACAGGAUUUGGAUGGUUGCAAGAGACUAUUGGAACACCAGGGGAGACCUUUACAAUGUUCAGAAUGAAGACAAGAGUUUUCUUUGAGCUUCAUGACUUGUUGGUGAAGGACUAUGGGCUCGGUUAUUCUCCAUUUGUUAGCAGCUACGAGUCUCUUGCUAUGUUCUUGUGGACCUUGGGGGGUUGUGAAUCAAAUAGAAGGACCCAAAACCGUUUCAAACAUUCACCUGACACUAUCCACCGCAAGUUCCAUGAGGUACUGCAUUGUGUGGUCAGGAUGUCUUGUCACUACCUCAAGCCGAAAGACCCCAAUUUUCACAUUGUGCAUCAAAGGAUCCUUGGUGAUAAACGAGCAUAUCCACACAUGAAAGACUGCAUUGGUGCAAUAGAUGGGACUCACAUUAGAGCUUCAAUUCCAGAAGACAAGCAAAUCAGAUAUAUUGGAAGGACAGGCGCAGUCACUCAGAAUGUGAUGGCAAUAUGUGACUUUGAUAUGCAUUUCACUUAUGCUUCAAUUGGACAACCUGGUUCUAUGCAUGACACAAGUGUGCUAUUUCAUGCAAUGCAUGCGGACAAGGCCACCUUCCCCCAUCCUCCAAAGGGUGAGCAUGCGGACAAGGCCCCCCUUCCCCCAUGA